AGGAUUCCUUUUUGAAUGUCAGAUCUCAAACAGCAUCUGCUUUGCACAGAUGUGUAUGACUGCCCCAACUACAAGGUGGUAAUAAAGCAGGACAUAGUUGUGUCUAGAGGCCUCAACCAAGAUUAGAGGAGCCAACCUGCUAUACGCUAUACAAAGAGUGAGACAGAUCCUGCCCAAGGAGCAUAAUAGACCAGAUAAAGGGGCAGGAUUGGAAACAGAGGUGAAGUGACUUGCCUAAGGUUACACUGCAGACUUAGAUGUGCCAUCCCCACUGAGACCUCCAUGCUGAUGUGACUCAAUCAACUAUGCUUGGAGAGAAGGGACUCCUGGAAUCUGAGGAGCACCUCCUUGUGGAAAGAUCAGAGGCAGAUGCUGGAGAUGGGGAAGAAGUAUGGGGUGGAUGUGACUGGGACUGUUGUUAAGACUUUGGAAGCUGCUGAUCUUCUAGCUAUGGCUGAGGGUGGAACUAUCCAGGGGAACAGGAUUUUGUGGUGCCAGAUGGUGGCUUCAGAGACUGCAUACCAUGGUGAUGAUACUGAGUGUCAAUCCAGGGCUGUUCCUCACCCUGAUCCUGGGAGAAAGGAUGUGAUCAGUGUGCCACCCACUUUCCCUAACCCCAUCCCCUACUUAAGCAAUGGGGAUGCUGCAGCCGGAGCUGAAUGUUCUUCUGUGUUGAUGGAGUCCAAGAGGGGUGAAGAGGAUGGCUAUGGCCUCUCUGACUCCUUGCUGGUCCCCAGUGUUCCAGCCAGUUAGCUGGGCAGUAUUAGCAGCUCUGCAGGAGUCUUUCCCUAUGGCCGGGAAACAUUCCAGCAGCUCCCUGAGAGAGGAAAGGCUCCAGCAGCAGGGAGGAUGUGAGACUCUACAAUGCUAAAAAUAGCUGCACAGAUAAGGAGGCACAGCUUGAGCAAGCAGAGAGCCCUGUAGGAUACAUCCACAGAGUUCAGUAGUGUUUUUACUCUGCCUUAGUAGUGCCUCACCAUCUACACUGCUGCUUACACUUCAUGACCUCUUAGUACUCUACAUGCUGCCGAAAGGAGUGUGCAGGGUAGAUGUACCUUUUGUUGACAAUUUUUAGAGGGUGGUAUUUUCUACCAAAAUAUAAUAGAGAGAGCACCAAAAUUUAAAGUUAGCAUAAAUAAUUUCUGAUGGGAAUUAGAAAUGCCAGAACUUUUAAGAACAAUCACUGAAUUUCUUGUAACUACAUGUAAAGAUGUCAGUACUGGAGCACUUUAAAAUGCUAUAAAUCUACCCAUUACAAAUGGUUGUUUGAGAUUCUAUUGGAAUUUCCCCCCAUUCAUUGUAUACUUUCGCUGAAUGUUGCACAAAUAUAAUCUCCUGCAAAAGUGUUUAGAUGUACUUAAUUUUUUCUAGGUCUAUACAAAUAAAAGGUAUACCCAAGGAAAUGUUCUUUUUACCAGGUGAUAUUUACUCUCUAACUAAAGAAUAACAUCAUUUGAUAAGUGAAAAAAGAUGUGAUUGCAGAAUAAGAACUGUACCUGGAAUAAAUGUCAUUUUCAUUUAUGCUUGCUAUAAUUUAACCACUGUGUUUUAAUGUCCACAUGGAUGUAGUUUUAAACUUUUAGAUUGCUUUUAUCUAAGUAAUUGAAAAGGAAGUUCUAUUAAGACUUCUCUAAUUAUGAUAUUGCCACAAAAAAGUGUAUCUGUAGCUUCCAGAAUGUAAUAAGCAUACUUAUAAACGUGAGCUUAGAUAUAACACACAGUACUUAUUGCCCUGUAUUUUUAUGCAGUAUUUUUACCACCAGGUUUGCUGCCAACAAGUCAGGUAGAUGAGCUGGCAUGAAACCUGCCUGGCUUCCAGAGAAAUUCGGGUAAAAUUGACACAUUCUCAUGGAACAUUCAAUUUAGACAAAUCAGUAAAUUCCAUCACAAGUUUAAUCAAAAAUUUA